GACGUAGGGCGCGAGCGUUGUCCGGAUUAUUGGGCGUAAAGAGCUCGUAGGCGGCUUGUCGCGUCGAAUGUGAAAACUCGGGGCUCAACUCCGAGCUUGCAUUCGAUACGGGCAGGCUAGAGUUCGGUAGGGGAGACUGGAAUUCCUGGUGUAGCGGUGAAAUGCGCAGAUAUCUGGAGGAACACCGGUGGCGAAGGCGGCAUCCUGGACCGAUACUGACGCUGAUGAGCGAAAGCCAGGGGAGCAAACGGG
rnacentral:rRNA from 1 species